rnacentral:rRNA from 1 species
AACGAACGCUGGCGGCAUGCCUAACACAUGCAAGUCGAACGAGACCUUCGGGUCUAGUGGCGCACGGGUGCGUAACGCGUGGGAACCUGCCCUUAGGUUCGGAAUAACUCCCCGAAAGGGGUGCUAAUACCGGAUAAUGUCUUCGGACCAAAGAUUUAUCGUCUUUGGAUGGGCCCGCGUUGGAUUAGCUAGUUGGUAGGGUAAAAGCCUACCAAGGCGACGAUCCAUAGCUGGUCUGAGAGGAUGAUCAGCCACACUGGGGCUGAGACACGGCCCAGACUCCUACGGGAGGCAGCAGUGGGGAAUAUUGGACAAUGGGCGAAAGCCUGAUCCAGCAAUGCCGCGUGAGUGAUGAAGGCCUUAGGGUUGUAAAGCUCUUUUACCCGGGAUGAUAAUGACAGUACCGGGAGAAUAAGCUCCGGCUAACUCCGUG